CCUUCCUCCAUAAUGGGCACAGCAGUAUAGGAAAUCAGCACAGGCUGCUAAUGUACUCCUUGAACAUCACCAGUAUGAAAAUCAGAUAUAGAUAGGAUGUUUCAUUAUGAGUUGAAGAUGACUUAUGAAAGCAAAUUUCUACAGUGUGCAGAGCACCAGCUGAGCAAAGAGUGAGCUGGUGGAAGGAAAUAGGAAGAACCUGGAUUCCUGUACCUGAAGAUGUCCUGGCAAGAAUGAAGGGUGGGAGAGUGUUCUAUGCCAUAAAGCUAAGACACUAAAUGUGAUCCUGAGCUGCUGCUGCAAUGUGUCACAGAGGGGAUGAGAGAAACUCCUCUUUCUCUUGGAUAAACAGGCCAAAAAGCAACAAUCAUUGGUGAAAUUAAACGGUUUUCACUGCAAGAUGAAAUAAGUUUUCUACUUGUAACUAACAACAAGGCUGUCCCUGGAGCAAAAGAAGUCGAGUUACUAUGGUGACUUAAUACAGGAGGAGUGGAUAUCACAAACACAAAAGCAUCCCAUUUGUUGAGCAUCUCCUGGACACAUCUUUUCCAUUCUGCUGAGCUGAUAUAGUCUAGCUGAGCCAAGCUGUUUUGCUUAAUUCCUCAAGAGCAAAAAAAAAAUUAUUUCUGUGUCACAUCUGUCUGGUUGCCACUCCCUGUCAUGAAAGCCUCUCUUUGUUAUAUGCUAUUAAGCACACUUGAUCUCUUAAUCAAUUUUUAAGGCGAGAGAAGAUGGUUGUGAUUCAGAGAGAACACUUCACUGGAAACUGUACACCUAGCUCGUACCCUCAUAUUGUAGCCAUUUCUGGAAAAGGAUAUACUAGGCUUGAGCGUUAGAGAAAAUUGACUGCAUGCUCUUUGUGGAGGCUGUACUUGUUCUGUACUGCCUUUUUGGACUGUGUGGAUCUUGGAUGUUGUGUGGAAAACAGCAAACUUUUCCUCUGUUUACUGAGCAUCUAAGCAGCACUGCCUUGCAUGCUGCCAGUGAGGAGACACAGAGACUGCAAAGUUCCUCGUGCCAGAGAAAGGAACAAGUCUGGUUCAGUGUGGUGGUUUGACCCUGGCUCUGAACACCAGGUGCCUACCAAAGCCAUUCUAUUUCUUCUCAGCUGGACAGAGGAGAGAACAUACAAGAAAAGGCUCAUGGAUCAAGGUCAGGGAGAGGUCCCUCUCUUGAUUAUUGUCAUGGGCAAAAUGGGCUUGACUUUGAGAAAUUAGUUUAAUUUAUUACCAAUCAAAUUGGAGUAUGAUAAUGAAAAGUAAAACCAAAUCAUAAAACGCCUUUCCCUCACCCUUCCCUUCCUACUGGGCUCAACUUUGCUCCUGGUUUUUAGUACCUCCUCUGCUCCAGCAGCACAAGGGGACAGGGAAUGGGGGCUGUCAUCAGUUCAUCCCAUGCUGUCUGGGCCACUCCUUCCUACUCAGAAGGACUCAUCACAGUCUUCCCCUGCUCCAGUGUGGGGUCCCUCCCAUGGGGUGCAGUCCUGCAUGAGCUCCUCAAGUAUUUUAGGUCAUCCUUUUCUUAGGGAUAGACACGACUUCCUCCUGUUUCUGAAAAAUAGGAGAAUCUCUCCCCAAGACACAGGACUGCGAGAAGCUGCCUGUAACAAGGACAUCAGUUUUCCCAAGUAAUUGCAGAGAGCAUCCAUGUUUUCUUCAGAAUCUGAGGAAAUUUACAUUUGAGAGGAAAAUGUGAUCCUGUCAAGAGACAAACUUCCUUCAGAGGAGUUGUGCACAAGAUCCAUGAAUGUAUGCAAGGGCCCCAUGGUGAAAUGCCAAGAUCUGUACCAGUGUGCUAAUUCCACUGUUAUUAUGGUCAGCAGACUUUUAUAGCAUCAGGAUCCACAGCAAUGUAAAUACAUGUCAGACUCCCCUGAACAAAAGUGUGGUAUUGAUUUUGCUGUACUGUGUUGCACUCUUAUGGAUCUUAGUGACAGGCUGUUACUUCAAACAGCAUGACAAAAACUUACUAAAAUAAUCUAUUUUUCCUCGGUAAUUAAAGGCAAAGCAAAACGGAGAUGAUCACAAGCAGUCUCUGAUGAGAACUUAUCUUAAUGUUUCUUUUGAUCUCUUGUGCUGCUGCUCCAAAGUAAAGCAUCUAGGCAAAAAUAAAAUCAUAUUAAUACAGGAUGUUAAAUGGAAACAUGUUCCUAAGCAUGAAGCUAUACAAUUUAGUGUCUAGCUUUUUUCUGGCAUUGGUUAAAGGCCAGUGAAUGCAGCUCAUUUCAAUGUGAUUUCAAAAGCAGAUAAGCAAGUAUGUGCAUUAUAGAAAUCAUUCAAAAAAGAUGGUUUGAGUUUAAGACCAAUCAUUUCACAAACGCUUCAAUAGUAUAGAAUACCACUUAAUAAUUUAAACUCUGCCUUAAUAAGAAUCUAUGAAAUUGGCAUUUCUUUGAGAUAUCAUUUUUUUCUAUUCAUGUAAGAGAAGCACCUAAAAUACAAUUAGAAUAAUUGGAUCUAUCCAUCACUGAGAUUAUGUCAUGUCCUUGAGACCUGCAGCAGAAUCAUAGCAUCAUAGAUUGUUUUGGGUUAAAAGGGACCUGUAAAGGUCAUCUAGUCCAAUCCCCCUGCAAUGAGCAGAGACAUCUUCAACUGGAUCAGGUUGUUCAGAGUCCUGUCCAACCUGACCUUGAGUGUUUGCAGGAUGAUAAAAGUUGAGAUGCAGUUCUUCAAUGUUUCCUUGUUCUCCUGUUUCUUCUGUUAUGUGGUGUGUUUCCGAAAGCUGUGAGAGGAGUCAGGCAUGGUCUACAAAACAUAGAUUUAAUAAUGAUUAUAGUAACUUUGAAAGAAGAUUGUGACUGGUGCCUUCCCUUUUCCAAUGUACUUUUGUUAUUUUCCCUUUUGCCCAGUAACUUUCCAAAAAAAUCUUUCCCCUUUCUUUUUGUCAGUCAUUAUGUAAAACAUUGUCCUUCUAUGCCUGAGGACCAAUGUUAAUCAUAUACAAGCUUUUCCACACAGCUAAAUUGUAAAUUGGCUAAUAUGCAUGUCAGCGAGUGACAGACAGUGUAAGCAUUAAUUACCUAUGCAAGGUUACUGAAUUUACCUAGAUGUGAUUAAUGGUGCUAGUUAUCUUAUUAAAGGUAAUUGAGGGAGAAUCUGGUAUUACAGUUUUCAAGAUCUACAGAAAUACAGUCUAAAUUAAAGCAACUUCAACUGCAAGUCACUUUCAAAUUAAAAAAAAAAAAGUAUAUAUAUGAGUGUUUAUCU